rnacentral:rRNA from 1 species
CGCGUAGGCGGGCGAGUAAGUCGAUUGUGAAACCCCCGGGCUCAACCUGGGACGUGCAGUCGAUACUGCUUGUCUUGAAUACUUGAGAGGAUAGCGGAAUUCCCGGUGUAGCAGUGAAAUGCGUAGAUAUCGGGAGGAACACCUGAGGCGAAGGCGGCUAUCUGGCAGUGUAUUGACGCUGAGGCGCGAAAGCGUGGGGAGCAAACAGGAUUAGAUACCCUGGUAGUCC